rnacentral:rRNA from 1 species
AAGUUUGAUCCUGGCUCAGAUUGAACGCUGGCGGCAUGCCUUACACAUGCAAGUCGAACGGCAGCACGGGAGCUUGCUCCUGGUGGCGAGUGGCGAACGGGUGAGUAAUACAUCGGAACGUACCCUGAAGUGGGGGAUAACGUAGCGAAAGUUACGCUAAUACCGCAUAUUCUGUGCGCAGGAAAGCAGGGGAUCGCAAGACCUUGCGCUGAUUGAGCGGCCGAUAUCAGAUUAGCUAGUUGGUGGGGUAAAGGCCUACCAAGGCGACGAUCUGUAGCGGGUCUGAGAGGAUGAUCCGCCACACUGGAACUGAGACACGGUCCAGACUCCUACGGGAGGCAGCAGUGGGGAAUUUUGGACAAUGGGGGCAACCCUGAUCCAGCCAUGCCGCGUGAGUGAAGAAGGCCUUCGGGUUGUAAAGCUCUUUCGGCCGGGAAGAAAUCGUAUGGGUUAAUACCCUGUGCGGAUGACGGUACCGGCAUAAGAAGCACCGGCUAACUACGUG